ensembl:lncRNA
GGGGCGGGUUCGGCAGUCUACUUUUAUAACAAAUAUUACGGCGUCGGUGAGGAUGAACCGGUCACCUUGGAGAUCGUGGACCGUGUUGUCACGGUUGAAGAGGAUCAUGAUCUCACCCUGGACCAGGAGGACCCAGUCCUUGUUCAGUUUGUGGAUGAGGAGGUUGGGCAGCGUCCCUGUCUGGCUUUAGUCCCUUGGUCUGGACCUCUGUGGGUUCCCAGCUCUCUGACUUAUUACCUUACCCUUGCUGGGAGGAUGAUAGUGAGAGAGCUGGCAGUGUUAAACACACAGAUUUUCAUGAUGGAGCAGCCUAUUUUCAUCUGUUUCACUCCUGUAGGGAGGUUGGUGUGGGAGGAACUGUCUUCUCAAACUGAACAGGUAGCCAUUCAUAUGCAGUAUGUGGAUGAGGAGGUUCAGCAGCAGCCCGGUCUGACUUUAAUCUCUUGGUCUGGACCUCAGUGGGUUUCAAGCGCCCCUGUCAAACUGCAGCCAACAUAUUACUUUACCCAUGCUGGGAACACGCUGGUGAGAGAGCUGUCAGUAUUAAAUACACAGAUUUUCAUGAUGGAGCAGCCGAUUUUCAUCUGUUUCACUCCUGUAGGGAGGAUGGUGUGGGAGGAACUGACUUCUCAAACUGAACAGCCAAAUAGUGAAGACUCUGGUUUUCCCUUUGAGAAGAUGCAGAUGGUUGGGAACUGGGGUUCGUUUCAUUUCCAUACCUGGAUAAUCCGUUAUGGACGAGUGCAGCAAAACGAAGAGGACAUGCAUCACCUGUGCAUUGUGAGGGGAGUGGAGAAACAGCUGUGGUGGAGCAGAGUCAUUCAGGAAAAAAUCCUGGACCCAUGGGGUAAUGUCCAGGUGGUCCUCACCAACAAGGAGGUGACUGGUAUUAAGUACCUUGGUAGAAGGAUCCAUGGACUCAGGUCUUGCCUCGUCAAGAGGAGGUCAGAGUUCACCUAUUAUGAGGACGCCCAGCAGGUGGAUAUCUCCACCACAGUGGAGGGGUUCCAGGAGAGGGGGGAUGACAUGAUGACGUAUCAGUUCUCUACCUCUGACAUUAUCACCACCCCUCAUGAGCCGUCCUCUGGCUCCUCUCAGCAGUUCCCCCAGGAUUCUCCACCUCCCCCUCCGCCUCCCCCGUUCCCUUCACCUCCACCUUACCACUUCACCCAGGACCAGACCCCUGACAGCACUCCUCAGGAGUUUGUGGAGGAGCAACAUAAUGUUGCAGAUGUGCCCCAGCUGUGGAGUUACUUUGGAAACCAAGGGACAAGCAACUUCUCUCUGAGGUUGGCCGGUAUCCGACGUGCUAUGGAGGCUCUGACAUCCUCAGACAGUAC